CAGGACAGUGCCCUCCUGUAAGGUGUGGGGAAAAGAUGCCAGGAGAAUCUUGUCCUUUAAAAGUCACCCAGAAAGGUAGAUCUACGAACCAGUAAGACUCAUUUUUUAAAAUUCUUUGUGGUUUUGAAUGGCAGCUGCGCCGCUUUCUCACAAACACACACACAUGCACGCACACUGACUUUUAUAUUCUCCCCCUCUUUCUCUGCUGUGUGCUUUGUCAUGGCUGCUGUGUCAUGACUGUUUUUGUCUAAUGAGAUUGAAAUGUAUUUGCUUGGCUGCCAUGCCAUGACUGUGCUUUGUGCUAUGCUACUUUCAAAUUUUUUUGACAAUGACCGUCCGUCUAGCAAUCAUAGUCUUCGCAUCCAAUUCGAACAUGGCCACCCAAUUGUUCACCGGUUCGUCCAAAAUGGCCACCCUAUUUGUUUGUCUCUCUUUGUUUAUUUCCCUUUCUUUUCUUUAUUCUGUCAGAUGAGCAGAUAGCUGACUUUUUAAUUGUGUUGGGAGGGAUGACCUCUCCACACAAUUAGAGCAUUUAGUUGUCUGUUGAUGUUUGGAUAGUGAGGUUAUUUAGAAGAUUGCACAAUGGCUUGAAGCUGUAGGAGAGAAAUUCUCUCCCCUUGUUUAUUUCUUGGGCCUAAAUAGGUAGUAGAAAAAGUCUGAUUUUUAGUGAAUUUUUGUUUUGAACUGCUAAGCUACUGAUGGUGUGACCAGGAAUAGUGAGAUGUUUGGUCAGGAUUGGACUGAUAGGGUGCAAAGCCUGAGGUGACUGUCAAGAUGCUAUGGCGUAUCAGACAGAUUUUAUGUUGACUCAGGGCAGGUGGUUCACUGAUCCUUAAAUUCUGAAUUUCUGUGGGCUUGGGUAUAUGUAAGGUAGGGGAGAUUUUUGUGUACAAUGAUUUGGUGGCAUUGUAGUAGAUGAUAGGAGUGGAAAGGUUUUGUAAUCUUGUGUAACAAGUCAGAAUUCUCUAAUUUGGCCUGUUGGCCGUGUAAUGAAGGUGCUUUUUCUUGGUUGUCAUAACUAAGUUUUGAUCAAUAUUUGUGCAUUAACAUUUUCUUUGUAGGUAAAUCUACAAUCGGUGAGUACCCUUUUUUUUUUUUUUUUUUUUUUUUUUUUUUUUUUUUUUUUUUAAAUGAAUGCCUACUUGCUUAUGUCUCUAUAGUAAGGUUGAACAAUGAAUGUUAUUGUAAUCACAUUUAUAAUAUUGAGCUGCAGUUUUCUGCAUAUUGUUCAGUCUUACUCUAGAUUUGUUAUAUUUUGAUGGUUUUGGACUGUAAUAAAAUCUGUUAGGGUUGUGUGUUUCUUUGGAAAAAAAAACCAAAAAAAAACCAAUGAAUUGGGUUUUCUUGCCAAAUGCAUCACCACACAAACACAUUUACAUGGUCAAAGCUUAUCAUUAACAUUAUUAUUAUUUUUUUUAAAUCUACAAACCCAUAAAAUAGGAUAAGGAUAAACUUGAGCUUUUUAAUCACUACCUUUUGAUCAACAACUCUGGCCAUCGGAGCCAGUCAAGGUGUCCGUCGUCCAACUUAGCUGCAUUUCAGGCUGUGCGUUCAUCCGUUCAACUUAGCUGCAUUUCAGGCCGUGCGUUCGUCCGUUCAACUUGGCUGCAUUUCUGGACUUGCAUUUAUCAAUCACCUGUUCAUUUUUUUUUUUUUUUUAUCCUUGAGGAUCUCCAAACAGAAGCUCCUGGUGGGUCUAUAGUAAGUGCUGUUUUAUUCCUUAUGUGCUGGGUUUUGCUUGGCUGCCGUGCCAAAACUAACAAUCAAAUUCUAUUUCAGCCUUCAUCCAUACUCCAUCCACAAGUAAGUGCUGCUUUUUUUUUUUUUUUUUUUUUUUUUUUUUUUGGCUGCCAUGCCAUAACUAACUACUUCACUUUUCAGCCUUCAUCCUACAAAAGAAGAGGAUUGCGUCUUUGUUUGUUAUUUUUUUUUAUUAUUUUUGGGCCGCCGUGCCAUCUCUUUCUAUCCCUCACUGGUUUGUCUUGGCCGCUGUGCCCAUCUACCGAUCUAUCCCUUUCUCGUUCAUCCGUGCAACAUCGCUGUCGGUCGGUUCAAAUUUUGCUCCCGUUCGUUCAUCCGUCCUUCUAAUCAUCCAAACAUCAAAUAGGUGAUUAUGAUUAGACUGAUCAUCUGAACAUCAUAGGUGUACAGAUGAUCACUCUAAUCCUUUAAAAAUCUCUUAAUAUCUAAAUUAUGAUUAGACUGAUCAUCUGAACAUCAUAGGUGUACAGAUGAUCACUCUAAUCCUUUAAAAAUCUCUUAAUAUCUAAAUUAUGAUUAGACUGAUCAUCUGAACAUCAUAGGUGUACAGAUGAUCACUCUAAUCCUUUAAAAAAAUCUCUUAAUAUCUAAAUUAUGAUUAGACUGAUCAUCUGAACAUCAUAGGUGUACAGAUGAUCACUCUAAUCCUCUAAUAAUCCUAACAUAACUUUUUUUGUUUUUCCCUUUGUAACUGCUGAGCUAAUGAUCUAAAAUAAUCAAGUGUUAGGUCAGAGCUGGGGUGUAAUGCAGUGUAAAGUCAGCUAUCUCUCAUCACCUGUUUUUCAGUUGUAUAUUGGUGGUGCUUUGUCUAUCCUGCUGUACCUUGAAGCCUAUGUCUGUUUUUCCAACUUUUGGAUGGCCUGCCGUGUCAUCACUUGCAGUAGCAUCUGUCUGCUUCUGUUUUUCUUUGUGCGUAUUCGUCGAGAAUUAGAUUGCGUCUUUGUUUGUUGUUUUUUUUAUUAUUUUUGGGCUGCCGUGCCAUCUCUUGUCUAUCCCUCACUGGUUUGUCUUGGCCGCCGUGCCCAUCUACCGAUCUAUCCCUUUCUCGUUUAUCCAUCCAACAUGACUGCGCACCUAAGAUGAUGUCCAUCCAAGAUUAACAAUUAUCCGUUUGUCUACCCGUUAGUUUGUAUAAUCGGUUUCAUGAAUCUACAAACAAGUAAGUCCUACAUUUUUUUUUUAAAAUAUGGCUGCCAUGCCACCCUUUUCUUUCCUCUGUCUCUCACAUGAACACGCACACAUGCACACAUGCUGAUACUUAUACAUUCUCUAUCCACUGUCUUUUUCCAACUAUGUUGUGUAUUGCAGGCCGCCGUGCCUGACAGAAACAUGCACACAUGCACGCACACUGAUACUUACAUUUUGUCUGUCUUGUGUGUUGGUCUGUCUUUGUCUGUUUGUAUCUGACUGACAUUCAAAUUAGCUUUAGCAGACUGUAUCCGUCUUUGUCUGUCUUGUCUGUUGGUCUGUUUGUCUCUUUGUUUGUAUCUGACUGACAUUCAAAUUAGCUUUAGCAGACUAUCCGUCUUUGUCUGUCUUGUCUGUUGGUCUGUUUGUCUCUUUGUUUGUAUCUGACUGACAUUCAAAUUAGCUUUAGCAGACUAUCAGUCUUUGUCUGUCUUGUGUGUUGGUCUUUGUCUUUGUGUGACAAUCAAUUUAGCUUUAUCUGACUCUGUCUUCGUCACAGUACGAUUAGUUGCACUGGACAACCAACAUUUAAAUUGGCUUUAUUGGACUCACUGACUUUGUCUGACCAGCUGACUGUCAGAUUGGCUUUAUUAGACUCAGCAACUGCUGGUCAAAGUAGCUUUGAUGGACUGUGAUGAACUAACUAAUCAGAAACCUAUAUUAAGAUAUCAAAAUUAACAUUGACAGAUAAUUGGCAAUGUGUAAAUAUCACCAAUCCUAUCAAUAUAAUUAAAGGUUUUAAAUAAUUCUCUUCAGUUGAACUCCUGCCCCUGCAGGACAGAAAUGUCCAAAAAUAUGAAAGAAAUUAAUCUAUUAGACCAACAUGGCUAGCGCCAUGACAAUCUAUUUCCAUCUGUCUAAUUGGCUUGGGUUAGCUUUAGUGCAACAACUUUUUUUUUUUCCCAGGUAUAGCUAAAAAAGUAAGUAUUUCUUUUCUAAGUGCUGUGCAAAGGCAACUGGCCUUGCUUUAGGUUCUUUAAGACCUUUUCAUCUGAAAGGCUUAAGUUCUGUUCAGUUGCCUUUGUAAAGCACUUACAAAUACCAUGACCUGGAUGGCUGACAAUCUUUAAACAAGUAAGUAUCUUUUUUUUUUUUUUUUUUUUUUUUUUUCUUCAAUCUUGAUGUGUUUUAGUAAUCUCACCAUGUCUGUGCUGUCUUGGCCCACCCCAUAUUUUGUUAGGUAUGCUUAUUUUUUUUCUGGGUUGUCUUUGUCUAUCUCUCUUUUAGUCUUUCUGUCUCUGUUUUUGUUGUUGUGUCUCAACAACAAAAACAGAUACUUUGUCUGCCUGUCUCUUUGUCUUUGUAUGUCUCACUUUUUCUCUUUCUUUUUGUUUGUCUCUGUCCUGAUGAAGCCUUAACAUUAUGUACCACCUAAACUUUAGGGACACAUACACAGCCCAUAAGAGUAUAAAGUCAGCCAUUUUGAUAGUUGGGGGAUGUCUCUGAUAGCUGGGGGAAACUCUCUCUGUCCGAGAUUGGUUGAAGACAGCUUAUUAGUUUUUCCUCUUUGCUUACUGUAUACUCUGAAAGUUAGGUGAUUGCCAGCUCAGGUCACUUAUCAAUCAUAGAUGGUAAAUGCUUUUAAUUUGUUGUUGAUACUUAUUCUCAUUGCUCAUGCCUGCUAGGAUUUGCACAGUGUAGUACCUGUUGUUAAUAUUAAACAAACAAAUAUUGCCUGUUCCAUAAUGGUUUGUUUUUCCUGGAUCCAUUAUUCCAUCUUUGGAUAGUGCAGGUAUGUGGUGUACGUUGAUGUAGAUUAAUCAGAGAUCCUAAGUCAGAGAAUUUCAUAUACUACAUAUUAAUGUAGUUGUGUUGCUGUUGAUCAUCACCACCCAAAUUUUGAUACCAAACUAUUUAUUGUACUAUACACUUAAAGGGAUUUUGAAAUUAAGGGCUGUCUUGUUUUGAUCUGCCAAGUUUAAUUCCAACUGGAGACCCCAGUAGAACCUUUUGAGUUGAAGUAGUUCUUGCGGCGUUCCGUUUCGUAUCCGUAUUUGUAUGCGCGACAUUGGGAGGCCUCCCAGCAGGGGAAUUUUAUCCCACCCCUGCAAAGCGUUUCACCACUAGGGUACGGUCACAUCAGUUUCUAACAAGAUGCACUGUGGCAUCAGUUGAGACAGGAUAAAUUGGGCAGUUUCAUACGUGCAUGGGAUUGUCCUUUUUAUUUCUAGGUAGACUUUUACUGGAUAGUAGCGCGUUUGGGCUCUCUGGGAGGGAGUAAACCUGGCAGAAAGAGACAACUCAGAUACCUCUGAUAGGAAUCUGAAGAAGCUUCUGGACACCCAAUUUGGGCAUAUCUCCUUAAUUUUCAAUCUACUGGUGAUGAAAUUGACAGCAAUGAUGGCUAUGAAAACCAAACUGAUGUGUCAAGUGUAUCAACUUGUCACCAUAUUUUACAACUUACUCCCACUCAGUUACCUGGUAUUGACAUACAUGAGUUAGAAACUUAAUACUAUGAGCUAAAUUCCAGAGAAAGUGUUGGUGUUGUCUUGGGGCAGAGACACCGAAUAGAAUUAGAACUCUAAGACUUUGUUCCUAAUUAGAGAUACAUGCUGUGGGGAGAGUACUUGUGGUAGAUUAAGUAUUGCCAUUGUUAAUGUGGGAGGAGAUGUUUACAGGAGAGACCUGUAGUGUUAAAUGAGUGACAGCUUGUAUGAAGUGAGAUUUCUAUUGUGGAAGAUUUACUUCUAUGAUUUCUUUUUUGUCUCUUUUUACUCUAACUUUGUCACUUGAAUAGUAAAAACCUUCUCAACUAUUUAGAGUUUGGAUAUUUUGUCUUUUUUUUUUUUUUUUUUUUUGACCAAUUUGCAUAUCAUCUUUCUGCAGGUCCGAGACGUGUGGUUGGUAACCUGCUAAGAUGACAACGUGGUAUUUGAUACAUCUGAACUACGUGUUUGGAUAGUUGGAUGGCAUCUGAAACUCGCUCCCCCCUCACCUUUCUAACAUCAGCUAAUAGGUAUCUGUGUCACCCAUUCUCUGUAACCUUCCAGAAUUGACAAUCUGAUGGACACCCUUCAUGCCAUGAUUGGCCAGCUUGGAGAGUCACUCAGGAUGAGGCUUAGUCCAGUGUCCUGGUUUGUUGCACAGGACGCAGUGAUCACCCAGUUGUCUAGACAACAGUCAUCCUUAGUCCAGAUUCUGUAUCCACCCUAGAGUCUCUCUAUCUGCUUUAAUUCUUGUUUGGCUGCACAUAAACAAUCUCACUUCAUUGUACUCAGGUCUUCUUUUCUCUUCAUGUGGCUUUUCAACAUUCACUGCUGCUCUUAUCAUGUCUGCAAAGGGGGUGUUUUCCAAAUUUGGCAUUGUUUUUACAUGUUUGGUAGGAUAUAGCAGUAGACCAUUGACAAAGCAGUCAACUUGAGGUGCUUGACUCUGAUUUGUCAGAUUCCUCUUCACACUGACGUUAAGUCACUGUCUAUAAAUUUGAUUUCUGACAUGUUUGGACCAAUGUCAGAGUCAGACUUUAAGUUCGGUUCUGACAGAAUCAUCAACAUUUGGAGCAAGCUUUUACAUAUUUUCUCCAAAUUUGGCAAUCACAACCAGGAAUGAGCUAGGACAUCUUAACACUGCAGAGAACAAGGUAAACAGAGUCGACUCAUAUCACAUAAGAAGGCAAGGCUUUUCUCCUUCCCCUUCUCCUCUGUGUGUGAGGAAGUCUGUGCUUUAAGUAAAAUGAUUAUAAAAUUAGACCUUAUUGCUGAUUCUGUCCUAAAGCUGUAUUUGUAAUGGACAAGCAACUUUGAGAUAUUUUAGAAAUUGGAAAAAAAGUCUAGCUGAGUAAGCGUACAGACUAUAGACCCCUACUGGGUUGUGUGCUAUGGUUGUGCAGUUUCCAAAACCAGACAAGGAUCCCUCUGGUUUUUGAAUCAGCGUACCAUGGUAUGCUAUUAUGAGCUUACUCUAAGACACAUUCUACAAUUGGAUAUAAUUUUGGCAAGAAAGCAAGCAUGUUUAACAUUACCACUUGAGAAUGUUGGUGUGAGUCUGAAGAAUUCAGGUACAUCAGGGUCUGGCAUUUCAAAUUGCCCGCUUUGUCAGUAGUCUACAACCACAUCUUGCCAAACAUGUGAAAACAAUGCCAAGUUAGGAACCUGUUCCCUUUGCAAAUGUGACAACAGCAGCAGUUGAAUGUUGGAAAAUUGCAUGAUGAGAAAAGGAGACCCGGGGAAAAUGCAGUGGGAUUGUUUGAUGUGCAGCCAAAUGAGGGUUGAUGUAGGGAGAGGAACUUUGGGAAGCUGCAGAAUUGGGAGCUGAGGGGAACUUGUCUGUCUAAACAGCUAGGUGAUAGCUGUUUCCUGUGUAGCAAAUCAGUACACUGAAUUAAGCUUUGUCCUGAAUGACUCUCUGAGCUGGCCAGUCACGACAUGAUGCAUGUCAGUCAUAUUGUUGAUUCAGGAAAGCUAUAGAUGGGCAAUACAGGCACCUUUCAGCUGAUGUUGGAAAGGUAUGGGCGGAAAGGAGUUUCAGAUGCUAUCCAGCCAUCCAGCAUGUAGUUCAAAUGUGUCAAAUCCUGUUUUGUCAUCUUAGCAGGUUGCCAGCUCUGUGUUUUGGGCACAUAGACAGACAUGUUGAAUUGCAAAUUAGUCAAACAAAAGGUGAAAUCAAAGGACUAAAUGCUACAUUUUUUUGUCAUCAAAGUGACAAACCUAGAUGUACUGAGACUAAAGGCAUUUAGUUUCAGGAGCUAUGUGCUAUGUAGGUAAUGCCACAUGUAAAACCAGUUAUAUUUCUAUCUUAAGUAGUUGGUCCAGCAUGACCUAGGGAAAGGACAUUAAGGACUUUUCUCCAGUAUUAUCAGGGAAUCCCCAAAACCAAAAUCCCUUAUGUAUCAAAAAGGUCAGCUGUGGCAUUCACACCCUCAUUCAGUUCUGACAAAUUCAGCCCUGUCUCAAGAGUCCUGAGUCAGAACCAAUUGGCACCAAUCUUUGAAGUAAGCUUCCUAAUACCAGAUUUAAUACUUGUGCUGAAAAGGCUGGCUUUAAUCAAGCAUUGCUGGAUAAAAUUACAGGAAAAAGAAUAUAUCUCAUUGUAAUGUUUUGGCUAGAUAGUUGGAGGAUGCCCAAGCCCCACAUGACAGAGGUUGCAGUCAGUUCAGCAGUUUCCUGUGACCCCAGAAAAAUCAGUGAGGGAGGCCCAUGACCCUGAAGUUGUCCUGGACUGGAAGAAGAGGAAGACCAGACUGUACCAAACCCUCCUUGAUGAUGAUGCGUCUGUGCCAUGUGAUUGAUGUCUUCAGAUAUUCAACCUUCAGGAAGCUUCGAUUGUUGUGGCCUCACCUCAGCUCACCAAGCCCUGCACUCUACCUUGACCUCCUGCCCCCACAAGUCUGAAAACCUCUCUCCAAAGUGGCAUGCCAACAUUGCACAAGUCAGCUGACUAAACACAAACUAUGGCCGUUAAUGAACAAUGUAAACCUGACAAGAUGCAUCUUCUUGGAGCCCAAGUCCUACAAACUUUUGCCCAAACUAUGUACUGCCUAACCAGCAACGAACUCAUUCGCCCAUGUCCCUCAAAGUGCUUAGGAGGCUCUUUCUUGCCAUCAGACUCACCACCACUCGCCACAACACAAACUGGACACCCAUCUGGGGAAAUGGGGAAAAACCACAUCAUAACUGGGAGAUGGACAUUCUGUAACUGUAUUUUUGAUGAUGAUUCUCUGACGUGGGUGUUCAGCACAUAGACAAUGUACUAUGUCUCCAUUUAAAAUCUGCAUUGGUAUUUGAAGUACAUGUAUGUUCCUGUGUUGGAUAUUAAGUAAAAUUAUUGCUUAUUUUCUAA